UACGUAGGGUGCAAGCGUUAUCCGGAAUUAUUGGGCGUAAAGAGCUCGUAGGCGGUCUGUCGCGUCUGCUGUGAAAUCUGGGGGCUCAACCCCCAGCCUGCAGUGGGUACGGGCAGACUAGAGUGCGGUAGGGGAGAUUGGAACUCCUGGUGUAGCGGUGGAAUGCGCAGAUAUCAGGAGGAACACCAAUAGCGAAGGCAGCUCGCUGGGACGGUAUUGACGCUAAGGCGCGAAAGCGUGGGGAGCAAACAGG
rnacentral:rRNA from 1 species